ensembl:lncRNA
UUUCACUCGCCAGUGCAGGGACUUUUAUUUUGCUUUUUUUCGCAGCUGACCACGGUGCAUCCGCUAUUUCUGUUCUGUUUUUAUUUUUUUCUUUUACUCUCUGUUUUACUUUAGUAUCGUAACUCUGAGGGCCUCUGCAAGACGAGCAGAACUCUGACAAUGUCUAAAGAUGAACGAUCCACUGCUGGUCGUCAGCUGCUGUUUUUUGACCUGAGGUCCACCAGCCGGCUGCUGGAGGUCUAUGUGAAGCGCAGUUUGAGUCUGAACGAUGCCAGUGGACUCAGGAAGCAGCGUCUGAAGUCCCGUAAAUGGGUGACCCUAAACGAUGGAGGCAGUCAGGCCAGACGGGCGUCGAGCGACAGUUCCACUCACCGCCUAUCCAUAGAGAAGAUCCUAAAGACCACAGAGUCGGAGAAACCUCCUCAGUCAGACUGGACACUGCCGUCAUCCAAAUCCUACAGUGGAGAUGUGGAGAAGAAAACCAAGAAAAAUCCAGAAACAGCCAGGAAGUCAUUCCUCAGGGCUUUUCUACACUGGUUCUCCAAGAAGGGAUCUGAAACAAGGCCGGAAUGUCCCAAACCUGAAACUUGCUCCUCAGAACUGAAAGUUGAAGAGGCUCCCAAAGCAGUGAAAAAGAAGCACUCCCUCAGAAAGCUCUCGUUCAGGAGAGUGGAGAAGUCUGAGUCUCUGAGAAAACCCGUUCUCACGCCGGAGGACGUGGUCAGACUUCCGCACGGUGUGAGCGUCGAGCCCACCAGCACAUACUUUGAGAAGGUCUCUGAGGAGUUGGAGCGUAUUGUGAAGGAAGUGAAGACGAGUCCAGACAGAGAUGCUGUUGUAGGCCUGAGCACUGCUGCUUUAGAAGAACAAAGUCCUACUCCAGAUGACACUGUUGAGAGGAUUAUCAGUCUGCUGAAGCAACACGGAGACGCCAUGAAUGAGCAGAUUCAGAAGAACAGCAGAAUACGCUCAGUCUUCCAGCAGUUGUCAUACAGUUCCUUCCAGCGGCUUGCUGACCGCUACCUCUCCCAGAUCCCACAGCCGGCGGACCGGGUCCCGCACACCGCCCCGGAGCUGGUCCAGCUUGCAUUCACAUUGGACUUCACUGCUAAAGUGGCCGGCCUGUCCAGCCAGGCUGUGAGCCGCAUCAUGGGCUUCGGGAACCAGUACCUGCAGGACCGAUUUACACAGAUAUGCUCCUCCCACAAACAGGAGUCUGAAGAUGUGGAAGGUCAGUGUUGCAGUGACCCAGAGUAGAAGCUCUCAGGCGAUGAACAUGGAAGAAGUGCUGGUCACUGUUUGGAAUGUUUUGUAAACGUUAUUAAUGGACUCAUAUAGUCCACUAUGGUGUAGAUUGCUGCAGCAGACUGUGAUGGGUUGAGCGUGAGAACGGGGCAGCAGAAAAAGAAGAGCUGCUUCUGUGGUUUCCUGCAGCCUUGUUGCCUUUAGUGGUGUGAAGUUGUGAUUAGUGAGAUGUUUAAAAGUCUCAGUUAUCGCCGGCGAUAAAGAAAUCAUCUGAUACUUUUCUACAAAUGAUUUCCGUGAGAAAUGUGGGUUGUUCUGUAUUUGGAUUUUUUAGAAAUACAUUUCUUUCAUCCCAAAAAGGAUGAAUAAUUUUAAUAUGUCCAUUAACAACAUCUAGUAUCAUAUAUGCAAAAGGAGAACUUAAUUCCAAACAUAUUUUACAGUCACUCCUGUUAUAUGUUAUAACACCAGUGACACUGGUGACCGAGAAAAAAAAACGAGAAUUUUGUAAAUUGUAUAAAUUAUAUAUGACAUUAUUUUGACAAAAUUUUAAUUUUCAUAGUCAUUGUUGUUAACCGCUUAAUCCAGAUAGGGUGCUCAAAUUAAAAAGAAAAUGAUCAAAUUAAAAUGUGUUAAAAUGUCCUGAUAGCACCCAUGACCAAAAGCUCUGUGGCAAAUUAAGUUUUUUAAAUAGAAUACAUAUUUUUAAAUGAAGUAUAACAUUAAUGAUCUAAAGUAAACAUGAAUUUCCAAGUUAAACCUCUUAAAAAUAUUGUUUUAUAUAAAAAAAUUAUUUCUCAAAUGUUGAAAUGAGCCGUUUAUGAAAUGUUCGUGAUGAGCUGUUUUACAUAUGCAUAUUACAUAUUACAUACUAUGAGGCUGGAUAAAAACAGCAAAUUCAGAGAAAUCAUACGGGGAAAGUAUACAUUAAUCUUAGAUCAACUGUGUAAAUGUACAUACUGACUUUUGGAGCUUUGAAUGAUAUUUUAUGCAUCUUUUAUGGAACCUUUGUGACAUGGUUUCCCACUUCAAAUGGAGAAUGACCCAACUAAAGCACUGUUGGACCUGCAUUAGUUUGAUUUGGGGAGGUUCUGUAAUUUACAUGUGAGAUGAAUAUGCAGUGUUGGUAGCUUGUUUAUUAAUAAUUCUGCUGUUAUUGAUCUUCUAUGUUUCUCCUUCAGUGACAGCAGCUCUGAAAUCCUAGUCAUGGAUAUCAGCACCUCUUGGAAAAAAUUCUUUACUAAAUAACUCUUCAAGAACUUAUUUAAGAGUGUACCCGUUUAAUGUUAAUCUUAAUGCUUGUAUGAGAACGUCUGGGUUAUCUGGGACUAAUUUGGGGAAAUUCCAGAGAUACUUUAUCCUGUCAAAUCCCUAGAAAUUACAUUACAUGACAUUUUCUAGUGAAACUAAUCCAGUUCCAGUGUAACUUUACUGUGUAACUGAAGGGGAUUCAGAGUGGUGUGGUGCACAAUAGUUUUAUUUAGUAUGCAAAAACACCAGUGAACCUACACUUGUCUUCUGUAUGGAAUGCUGAUGAUGGGACAAUAGAUGAAAUUUGACAUUGAAUUUUAUCAAAAGUUAUCAAAAUCAGUAUAUCAAAGGAAGACCAAAACCUUCUUAGAACUAUCAUCUCAGACAUCAGGCUGUGAAUUCAUAACCACUUCAUGUAAUAACUUCACGUAAAUGAGCUUUUAGAAGUGGACGUGUGGCUCCUAUCACCACCACAGUGAUCAAUUACAUCUGGAAUGGUAAAAGAAUUAGUGGAAUUCACCUUUAAUUAUAUAAGUAUGUAAUUCUAUUAUCUGAAUAAUGGCACAGAAUGAGAGCAAUAACUCUUCUUCUAAGGAUUAAAUAGGUCCAAAGUUCACCUUACAGUGAAAAGGCUUUCAAUUAUACUUAUACCCCCAGAGAUCAGAUGGGGACACUAAGUGGAGAAACACUGGGGAAAUUAUUCUUUGCCUUUUUUAAAUGAGCGUCAGCAUCUUGUGAUUUACUGAGUCACAUUUUAAGGACUUCACACAAGUGCUUUGAUAUUGUGGGCCACAUUUUAAAACCGAGGAGGAAUGAUGGGACCGAGCAGAAUGGAUGAAUGUAUGGGUCUUCCAUGAAAAUGUGAUCUGGUUUAAGGAAAGGGGGGCAUCAUGAGAUGGCUCACAUGUUGUCAGACUGAAACAGAUUGGACACACUGUUACUGUUUUACAUAUUCUUCUUCAACUGUGAACCGAAUGCUAUUUAUUUAGCUUUUUGGGUUUUUUUUAAACUCCGUAGAAAGUCCACCAUUAAUUUAUUUCAUUUCAAAAGGGCCAUUUAGUACACGUUAAUCAUUUUUACAUGUUACUAAUUACGUAUUUAAAUGUGCAGAAGAUAUGUUAACUUCCUGACACUUAGAAAAUCAACACAAACAUCACAUUUUUUUUUCACUUUUUAAUGUGACCAAGUUACCUUUAUUACAGCUCCGAUCCUUUUCAGGAGACUCACCUCCAAAGUUUAGUCUUAGGCCCAAUCCCAUUUCUUUUUUUUUAUCCCUAUCCCUUGUUUUUGAGUGUUUCCUUGCCCCUUGGAACUGAGUUAUAGGGUAGUGGUUAAAACCUUCGGUAUGAAAUUUAACAACCCUCAAAUAAAAAAGAACAUUACUUCAUUAACAGGCUAUUAGCGGUGCUCUGUAGUGAUAGAAGAGGAGGGUAAAGUUCAGCUCCUCACUGCUGGGCUUUAGUUACAUUUAGGGCAUCAGUUAUUUAUUAUUGCCCAACACUAAUUCUUCAGUAACAUGAAGCUGAAGUCAGAUAUUUGUUAGCUUUUUGUUCACCUUGAACUACUGCUGUAUUUAAGGUGUAACGGGAAAGACAUCAGCGCUACUAGUGAUUUUUAUGCUUGUUAUGAAGAAAAGGGCCACAAUACACCUAAAUGACAUUAGACUACUAUAAUACAAUGGUUUCAUUAUUUUUAACAGAGAAAAUACUCACAUUUUCUUGCGUUUCUUUGGUCAACUAGAUGAGAAUACUCAAAACAGAGGGGUAGGGCUAAGUGGUAGGGUUGAGAGGUGAAAUGGGAUUAAGCCUCAGAAGUUGAUUUUCUAAUGUAACUCCAACACAUUCCAUGAUGCUAAGGUCUGAGUGAAUGAAGAGUGGUCUAACAGUGUUGUGUGUGAAUUUUAUAAUGAUGUUUGUAUUGUUUUUAUUGCCGGAUGACCUCAGUUUAAUUAUGUAUAUUUUACAGAAAGAGAAAAAAUACACUUACAUACUUACAUAUGCUCAUAUUCCAGCAUUUCAUAGCUCACAUAAACAGAAAACAAGAAAAAGCUGAUUAAAAUGUGAAGAACCUUUUCUAUAAGUUAAUAAAGAAGAUUGAAAGGAAUGAGUUUAAUGUUUUAAUGUCUUUGUCUGCUGGUUACGUUUGAUACUUUUAAAAUAGGACUUUACAGAAGAAGACCCUCUGAUAAAGACAGUUAAAGAGAAUGUGUUAGUAUGGGGGUCACUAAUCUCAAUGAGAUUCAGCAUCAGAUCCUCAAACAAUAUUUAUGAUACAUUCAGGUCCACUAACUAUAUAGGAGCACUUUGUAGUUCUACAGUUACAGAUUGUAGUCCAUCUGUUUCUCUGCAUACUUUGUUACCCUGUUCUUCAAUGUUUAGGACCUCAACAGGACCCCCACAGAGCAGGUGUUAUUUGGGUGGUGGAUCAUUCUCAGUGAUACUGCAGUUAUACUGACAUGGUGCCGGUGUGUGUUGCGUUGGUCUGAGUGGAUCAGACACAGCAGUGCUGCUGGAGUUUUUAAACAUUGUGCCCACUCUAUGAGACACUCCUACCUUGUUGCUCCACCUUGGAGAUGCAAAGUCAGAGAUGAUAGCUCAUCUGCUGCUGCACAGUUUGUGUUGGGCAUCUUGUAGUCCUUCAUCAGUGGUCACAGGAUGAUGCUUUUCAUUCUCAAUCCAGCAAUGACACUGAGGUGUUAAAAACACCAGCAGCACUGCUGUGUCUGAUCCACUCACACUAGUGCAACACACACUAACACACAACCACGUCAGUAUCACUGCAGUGCUGAAGGUGAUCCAUGUUGGUAAUGUAUUUUCAUAUGUGCAGUUAUUGAGCAGGUGAGGGUCUAUGGUACAUUCUGUUUGCUCUCUCUCUGCCGUUUCCUCAUAUCCAGAGUGAAGAGGAGCGUAUGGUGGGAUGACAAAAUGGACUUUUUAUGACGGAGGGGUGAAGACGCAUUGAGCUGGUCUUUUGCACCACUCGGGUAUUUAGUCUGGAUGAUGAACAGCGUCAGCAUCCUUACAGAGAGGGGGAAAAAUUAGGAAAAACUUAACAUUGCUAUAUAAGAAAGAAAAAGGGAAAUUAUGUAAAACUAGAAGAAAUAUAUUCUUACUUGUGUUGAACAACCUGGUGUACGCUGGACACUAUGAUGUUGAGGAUAAACCGCAUCAUGUACUUCAGGUCCUGCCAAAGCCAGUAGGCCACUUGAUAAGUGUAGAGGACCCAUGGCUCAACCCUGAGGCACACCGCAACUCAUUUAGUUCAUUUAAUGCACAAAUCUCUAACUUAAAAUUUACAGA